rnacentral:sRNA from 2 species
AUGCACCACCCGCAGAUGCCGGUUCAGAGCGCGCCUUCCACGCCCUGCUGACGACUGCUCGCUGAGUUUCGUUGGCC